UACGAGGGGUGCAAGCGUUGCUCGGAAUUAUUGGGCGUAAAGGGUAGGUAGGUGGUCUUGUUUGUCUGAGGUGAAAGCCCGGGGCUUAACUCCGGAAGUGCCUCAGAAACGGCAAGACUCGAGUCCUGGAGAGGGUCGUGGAAUUCCCGGUGGAGCGGUGAAAUGCGUAGAGAUUGGAAAGAACACCGAUGGCGAAGGCACUUUAUUGGGCUAUUACUAACACUCAGAGACGAAAGCUAGGGUAGCAAAUGGG
rnacentral:rRNA from 1 species